AACAGGUCUUAUAGAGGCCUUCUGUCACUUGAAAAUACAAGGUUUCUUUAGAACGGUUAAACAGGUCUUAUAAAGGUCUUCUUUAACUGAUUUUUACAAGGCUUCUUCUUAACACUUCAAGAUAGCCUUAAAGAGACCUCCUUUCUUUCCAAAAUGUAUGACUUGCGUAAGUAAGCCUUGAACUAAACGUAUACAAACUAUGGCUUGUCGAAUCGAACAAAAUGGACCUUAUUCAAGUAAAAUUGUUACUUGGGCACCGCCAUUUGGUUUUGACUGAGGCUACUGUCACGGUGGGUAUCAACCUCCAUGGGACAUAUUAUCAUGGAAUAUGCAAUAAUGCAACAACAUCGUGCCAUUCCGCAACAGGAAAACCUUUUGAAGCAAAACCAAGAAGAGUUUUGCGAAAAAGAAAUUAAUUGUGGAUCACAUGAUACUAUACACUAUACACUAUAUACAUCAAGUGGAAACGAAUUUCUUUGAAAAUUUAUCCCCAAGAAUUGUCGAACUAUUUGAUGUACUCUGUAAUAUGUUAAUAUCAGCAACUUAUAUAUUUGGCUACUACUGUCUUUCGCAAUGUCGCAAGGAGAGGCAAUUAAUUCUACUGUUAAAAUAAAUAUUGUCGAGCGAAGCUUACUGAUCUCGCACAAAGCUAAGCUUGAACUUAGAGGAUCAAAUUGUUUCUAUAGAAAAGCUGAAGCAGGUUUAUAAUUGAAUAAGAUUAUAUCCGAACUACUUAACAAACUAAGUGGAGAUUAAUCUAUCAUAAGCAGUGCGGAGCAACUCUAAAGGCAACUAAAUGAACAGACUUAUGCUAACUGAACAAAAUACAAAAUUCAUUGGAGAAAUUGCAUCACUUCAACAAGACAACGAUGAGCAUGGUAUAAAAAGAGAAGGUAUGAUCAUUAGAAAAAACUCAGUAUCGAGAACUGUCAAAACUUAUGGCUACUUAAGGUUUUGACAGCCCAGCCCAUUGAAAUUGUUGUUGUAAACAAAUUUGUCUUGGAAAUUGUUGUUGCUUUUGACUUUGCCAAAUGCCAAACGUCAAAACCUUAUUACCCCAUUUUGUAAGAUGGCGGCUCUAAUGAUCAUACCUUGUCUUUUUAUACCAUGAACGAAGAGCUAGAAGCCAAUAAAAAUUUGUUCUCAAAUCGAAAUUAGAUGAAAUGAGGGCUGAGUUCGGUUUGGACAUAGCCAAAUCCCUGGAAGGUAAAAAUGCUGAAAUAAAACGUCUGCAGACUGAUAUUAUGGGCCUUCGAACUAAGUGUGAUGAAGAGCAUAGAAAAUGCAAACCAGUUUGGCUAAGUUUGAGGUAUCGUAAAUAUUAGAUGUUGCUUAUGUACAAAAACAGAACUUUUGGAUAUUCAACAUCAAAAAACAAACUUAGAUCGAAGGAAACGAUGUGGCUGCACCAACAAGGAGAAACAACCAGUACUGUUGAUAGGCUUACAAAUAUGCAGGAAAAAGUCCAGACAUUGAAGUAAAAAAAUAUCACAAAACGAGUAGGCAAAAAUUGAAGAGCAACUUGCCGCCCAUACUUGCCGGAUUACUUGCUUAGGAUGUUAUAAUAAGGCCUUAUAGA